GCGCCCGUGGUGAAAUGGAUAUCACAGCAGCCUUCGAAGCUGUUGUUCCCCGUUCGAAUCGGGGCGGGCGCA
rnacentral:tRNA from 1 species